GGCUCAGGACGAACGCUGGCGGCGUGCCUAAUACAUGCAAGUCGAACGCUUCUUUUUCAUCGAACUUCGGUUCACCGAAAAAGAAGAGUGGCGAACGGGUGAGUAACACGUGGGUAACCUACCCAUCAGCGGGGGAUAACACUUGGAAACAGGUGCUAAUACCGCAUAAUCUUUUUNUCCGCCUGGAGAAAGAGUGAAAGGCGCUUUUGCGUCACUGAUGGAUGGACCCGCGCUGCAUUAGCUAGUUGGUGAGGUAACGGCUCACCAAGGCCACGAUGCAUAGCCGACCUGAGAGGGUGAUCGGCCACACUGGGACUGAGACACGGCCCAGACUCCUACGGGAGGCAGCAGUAGGGAAUUUUCGGCAAUGGACGAAAGUCUGACCGAGCAACGCCGCGUGAGUGAAGAAGGUUUUCGGAUCGUAAAACUCUGUUGUUAGAGAAGAAUAAGGAUGAGAGUAAAAAGUUCAUCCC
rnacentral:rRNA from 1 species